CUAAGAACUCCUGGCCGUCACCGUGAAUUCGCUCCUGUGAUGCCAGGACUCUAGUGCCCCGGAACUUUAAAGAGAGCAGGCUGUGCUGUCAGCUGGUGGAAGGGACCAUCGCCCAGCAGUGC